CUAAGAACCAGGAAAGGAAAGAUGCAGCUUCUGCCUUCAUAGACUAUAUGCCAGUAGAAGAGUCAGGAAAAAACAGACAUAGUGAUUCUGCUCUUCUGAUCAACCCUGAUUGACACAGCCACAGUUAGAGAAAAUGGAAAGAGCUCCUCUUCAUUAACUAAUUUGAGAUUAACAUUGCUUUCAAUAUUUCCAAUCUCUGGAAAACUAUCUAUGAAAUCAUACCUAAUAAACACAUCAAAGCUUUGGAGUUACUCUUACCCCAACACCUGAAUUUAUCCUGGGCAUUUGGUUGGUGAAGCCUAGUCAAGCCCGUGUAACUGCAAUUGUCUGGAAGAAUGAGUCUAACGUGUUAAAAUUGCUACACUUCAGUGUUCUGAAUGCAUCCAUGUGUUCCAUGAUAUUGCAGGAGUCACAAGAAAGUGAAUCACAAGAUUCUUAGAAAGUAGAGAAAGCACUGCCUUCUGACUUACCUAACACAUUUUUUUCAUCACCCUGUUCUGAGAUUAUAAGAUCAGGAGUAACAGAGUCACUUUACAAAGAUAUUACAGUAUUUUGGUGAGAACCUUCGAAGAUUUUAAACUUAGAAAGUUCUUUUCACUUGGAAACAACCCAAAUGUCCAUCAAUGAUAGACUGGAUAAAGACAAUGUGGCACACAUACACCAUGAAAUACU